UACUUCCUGGAUCCUUGGUUCAUUAUCGUGUAAUAUUCCAUAAACGGACAUUUCCAACCCCAAUACAAUGUUCUACUGUUCUCAAUUUGAAAUGUGUUCCUUUUUUGGUUGUGUUUUGUCAACUUACGAGUUAGCUUCCAGGCUUUUUGUGCUAAGGUCACGUGACUUGUUUUCUUCCCGGUUCUUUUUGUAGUUUGACUUCGGAUUUACCGCAAACUGGUGACGUAAACAUGGAAAAAAGGAAAAAGCUCCGAUUUACAGCGGUUGUUCCUCACCUCUUCCCGCCUCUUGUCGUGGCGUAAGUCAGACAUUUUAUUUUUCUGGAGGUGAACUUCUUGCCCCUCGACGGAACGCCCACAAGCUCCCCCCGGCGCGCGUCGUCGUCGGCCGCAGAUUGCGGCAGGAAGACGCGCCGCGGGGAGGGACGCGGCGGCGCGGGGGGGCCGCCAUUGUACCACGCUGGCCCCGGGGGCCCCCCGCGGAGCUCAGAUCCCGAGUUGCGAUGGUCGACCAUUAGCUUCUUUUCACUUUGAAACAAUAGUCUCAGCCCUUUGAUACCCCUCCCCACGCACACCCACGCCGAAACAAACACCAGGUUUCACUCUACAGGUCGGAGAAGAUAGGUGACGUGGUCCAAAACCAAGUCCACAGUCUGAAACCAGGACUCAGUGGAGGUCCGUGGACUUGGGAGAUGGCUUUGUCAUGCAAACGAGGGCCCACGACACAGGAGACUAAAGGACCGGGGCUUCAAGAGACCACCGAGGACUCUCGGGGUGCUCCAGAGGUGGGCGGAGGAGGACGUGUCUCAGAUCCUCAACUUGGAGAUCAAGCGCAAAACAAAUCACGCACGUCGAGACCGGCGCACACGCGAUACGAAGGGUCCUCUCCGAAAGAUCUGGUUUCCAAUCUCAACGAUAUGAUGAUUUUUUUUCCUAGAAUAAUUUUAUGGCAUAAAGAUGUUCAUUUGCAAUUUUAUUAAAGAAAGAAAAUGUUGAAGGUUCUGCGAUGAGGUGGCGACUUGCCCAGGGUGUACACCACCUUCCACCCGAACGCAGCUGAGAUAGGCUCCAGCACCCCCCGCGACUCCGAAAGGGACAAGCGGUAGAAAAUGGAUGGAUGAGGUUUUGGUGAGCCAAAAAAAUGUCUAAGAUUUUACAACAAUAAUACAUUUCUAGUAUUUAAUGAAAAUAUUGUAGUUUUUAUUCAAUUAAGUCGUAAUUUGUCAAUACUAAAGUAGCAAAAUUACAAUAAUUUAAUUUGGAAAAAUAAUAUUUUAAAGUCUACAUGGAUAGAAUGGUAAUAAUUGGGAAUAAAGUCCUAUUUAAGUUGACUUUUAUCAAGAAUAAAGUGGUAAU